CCUACGGGAGGCAGCAGUAAGGAAUAUUGGACAAUGCUCGCAAGAGUGAUCCAGCCAUGCCGCGUGCAGGAAGAAUGCCCUAUGGGUAGUAAACUGCUUUUGAACUAGAGAAAACCCCAGUACGUGUACUGGGCUGAUAGUAUAGUUAGAAUAAGCAUCGGCUAACUUCGUGCCAGCAGCCGCGGUAAGACGAAGGAUGCAAGCGUUAUCCGGAUUCAUUGGGUUUAAAGGGAGCGUAGGUGGACUGAUAAGUCAGUGGUGAAAUCUCCGAGCUUAACUCGGAAAUUGCCAUUGAUACUGUUGGUCUUGAGUACAGUUGCUGUGGGCGGAAUAUGACAUGUAGUGGUGAAAUACAUAGAGAUGUCAUAGAACACCGAUUGCGGAGGCAGCUCACAAAGCUGUAACUGACACUGAGGCUCGAAAGUGNGGGAGUACAACAGAGUAGUAUACCUACGUAGUCGCACCGUAACGA
rnacentral:rRNA from 1 species